rnacentral:pre_miRNA from 1 species
CGGGGGAGGCCAGAUCCUGGGCUGUGCUCCGGAGCCUGCGCUGUUGGAUUCGCGCUCCCGCCCCGCAGCCCCCU